GUGGGGAAUAUUGGACAAUGGGCGCAAGCCUGAUCCAGCCAUGCCGCGUGAGUGAUGAAGGCCCUAGGGUUGUAAAGCUCUUUCACCGGUGAAGAUAAUGACGGUAACCGGAGAAGAAGCCCCGGCUAACUUCGUGCCAGCAGCCGCGGUAAUACGAAGGGGGCUAGCGUUGUUCGGAAUUACUGGGCGUAAAGCGCACGUAGGCGGGUAUUUAAGUCAGGGGUGAAAUCCCGGAGCUCAACUCCGGAACUGCCUUUGAUACUGGGUACCUAGAGUAUGGAAGAGGUAAGUGGAAUUCCGAGUGUAGAGGUGAAAUUCGUAGAUAUUCGGAGGAACACCAGUGGCGAAGGCGGCUUACUGGUUCAUUACUGACGCUGAGGUGCGAAAGCGUGGGGAGCAAACAGGAUUAGAUACCCCGGUAGUCC
rnacentral:rRNA from 1 species